rnacentral:rRNA from 1 species
AUUGAACGCUGGCGGCAUGCCUUACACAUGCAAGUCGAACGGUAACAGCACUUCGGUGGCUGACGAGUGGCGAACGGGUGAGUAAUACAUCGGAACGUGCCCAGUAGUGGGGGAUAACUACUCGAAAGAGUGGCUAAUACCGCAUGAGAUCUCUGGAUGAAAGCGGGGGACCGUAAGGCCUCGCGCUACUGGAGCGGCCGAUAUCAGAUUAGGUAGUUGGUAGGGUAAAGGCCUACCAAGCCAACGAUCUGUAGCUGGUCUGAGAGGACGACCAGCCACACUGGGACUGAGACACGGCCCAGACUCCUACGGGAGGCAGCAGUGGGGAAUUUUGGACAAUGGGCGCAAGCCUGAUCCAGCAAUGCCGCGUGCAGGACGAAGGCCUUCGGGUUGUAAACUGCUUUGUACGGAACGAAAAGACCUCUGGUUAAUACCUGGGGUCGAUGACGGUACCGUAAGAAUAAGCACCGGCUAACUACGUGCCAGCAGCCGCGGU